AAAUUGAAGAGUUUGAUCAUGGCUCAGAUUGAACGCUGGCGGCAGGCCUAACACAUGCAAGUCGAGCGGCAGCGGGAAAGUAGCUUGCUACUUUUGCCGGCGAGCGGCGGACGGGUGAGUAAUGCCUGGGAAAUUGCCCAGUCGAGGGGGAUAACAGUUGGAAACGACUGCUAAUACCGCAUGCGCCCUACGGGGGAAAGCAGGGGACCUUCGGGCCUUGCGCGAUUGGAUAUGCCCAGGUGGGAUUAGCUAGUUGGUGAGGUAAUGGCUCACCAAGGCGACGAUC
rnacentral:rRNA from 1 species